rnacentral:lncRNA from 1 species
GUCUGCCAUAUAGCAUGCAUCUGUCUAUUUGAGCUGGUCAGUAUGUCUAGGUAAUCGUGUCAAACGCAGCUUUAAAAAAAAUAUUUAUUGCAUAUUAAAACGGCAUAAACCUAAUGUCAAGUUAAAGUGUAUUGUUAGAUAGCUAAUGCUAUGUGUAUGCUCUGAGUUUUGAAAUCAAUGGAAUUAGAGUAUGAUAGCUAAGGAGAUGGAGAAAACGUGUCAAACUAAGAGCAACCAUGCAUGGCAUCAGAGAGGAGAUGCAUCCAACCAUGAUGUAUACUGCGGGAGAGAGUCUCCUCCAGGAAUUUACAACCUGAGAUAACAGAACCUGGGUGUAGGAGAGAGAGAGAGGGGAAUGCCACGAUCUAUACCCAGAAAGGACUACGUUAUGACAAUGCACAAGCUUCACCAUAGUCUGGACAUUCACCUCCUGAUCACAGACCAUAAUAAGUUUGCACCAGACUGGUGCUUCAGCCUCAUCAAGCAGCGCUUCAGAAAGACCAGAGUGAACACUUAUGUCUGAUAUUGCUGGUGAUGUGAAGGACAGCAUUGUAACAGGGGUCCACAUCCCACAGCUGGUUGGACUGGAGGAUGGUACGGUGCUGGUGGAAAGCUAUGGCUGGCAACAACACCUGACUCCGUACUUCAGGCCGGUGAAACAGAUCAAGCAUUACCAGCACUUCAGUUUCGAUGCUCUGGAGCCUGGUGUUGUCGUACAAGGGGCGUUAGGACUCAGUUGGGACCAGGUUUCAGCUGCUGAGCAACGCUGACAUCCUUCCUCCUAUAGACGGUCUGCCUGUACAAGCACCACCUGGACUGGACACAGCUAGACAAACGCAUCUUUUUGAGUAGAUCCGGGAGUUUUGUGACGAAGAGGCUAUGGACAUCACAUGAACCUGCACCAAAGUCAAGGGCAGGACAAAAACAUAAACAGAUUCCCUUGUUCAUGCGUGGUUCGGGC